rnacentral:rRNA from 1 species
CGUGUAGGCGGUUAUGUAAGUCAGAUGUGAAAUCCUUCCGCUUAACGGGAGAAGUGCAUUUGAAACUGCAUGACUGGAGUACGGGAGAGGAGAGUGGAAUUCCCGGUGUAGAGGUGAAAUUCGUAGAUAUCGGGAGGAACACCAGUGGCGAAGGCGGCUCUCUGGCCUGAUACUGACGCUGAGACGCGAAAGCGUGGGGAGCAAACAGGAUUAGAUACCCUGGUAGUCCACGCCGUAAACGAUGGGCACUAGGUGUAGGAGGUAUUGACCCCUUCUGUGCCGAAGCUAACGCAUUAAGUGCCCCGCCUGGGGAGUACGGCCGCAAGGUUAAA